UACAUUACAAUUAACUAAAGUCCAUACUUCAUUCAGAUUCCCUAUGUUUUCACCUAAUGUCCUUUUUCUGUUCCAGGACCCCUUCCAGGGGACUACUUUACAGUUAGUCACCGUGUCUCCUUUUGGCUGUGAUGGUUUCUCAGACUUUCCUGAUUUUCUGUGACUUUAGCAGCUUUGAGGAGUAGUAGUCAGGUAUUUGGUAAAAUGUCCCUCCAGUGGGAUUUCUCUGAUGAUUUUCUAAUGAUGUGAAUUGGAUUAUGGAUUUGGGGAGGAAGACCACAGAAACAAAGUCAUAUCAAGGGUAGGUACUAUCAACUUGAUUUAGUGCUGUUGGUCAUCUGGCUGAAGCAGCAUUUGCCAGGUUUCUCCACUGUGAAGUUGCUCUUUCAACCCCCUCCAUGCUUUCCUCCUUGGUGAUGCCUGCACAGCCACCAAUUAACUUUGCUCCACCUCCGGAGGGCAGAGUAUAUACAGAAAUUAUUUGAAAUAUUUCUGCACAGAGACUUGUGGAUGGAAAAACCUAUUGGCCCUCUUACUUUAGGUCAAAAGUAGCAGAAAUCAGAGAUGAUGACAAGGCUCUGUGAAUUCUGGGUGGAAGAAAGAUCUUCAUUCACGUGGUGUGCCCCAUGGGAUGUUCUGCCUUCCAGCUGACAGCAUCAUCUGUUUCAAAAAAACCCCACAACAAACCAAAAAAGCCUUUGUGUUUUCAAUCAAGACUGAAGCUGAGAAAUUUUCCUGACGGGGUGAAAGUUGUAACAUGCAUGGCCUGUCAUAUUUGCAUUCUUUGACAUGAUGUCCGUGUCCAGACCAUGGAUUUUGAAGUGGCCUUCGAACUUUACCUUAGGACGGUGGAGAAAAAAAAAAUCAGGAGACCUACAUGGAAUAUAUGCAACAAACCAGGUCAGGGGCUGAUGGUCAGAGAUGGAAAUUCUGCUACUGAGACAAGGUGGAAGCCAAGAGGCAGAAACCGGAAAGGAAUCAGAGCCAAAAGUCACAGCUAGCAAAGCUCAGGGCCAAUGCCCACGACAGGAACCAGAGGAGCAAUUAACCGGGAGCAAGAAUGUCCAGAGUCAGCAUUCAGAAACUGCCCUCCGGACAGUUUUUCCUCACCCUGGAUGGGGCAGCUCCUUUGGAAAGCACUCACCACAUCUGGGCUUCGGAAGUGCAAUUAAUCUUGGAGUCAUUAGUCUUACACUAUGAGGAGACAGAAGAGAGACAAACUCUUCGCUCCCUAGAUGACUCUGGAGCCAUAAAGCUCACUGAGUUAGUAUCACUGAGGCAGGGCCUUGACUGGGGUGGGCGAGUGAGGUGCCUGGGGUGCCCACAUAAGGAGGCAUUCACUCAGGGUCAGACAGAUGCAGGUCGCUGAGGCUCUGGGAUGGGACGGCUGAGCCCCACUGAAACCGACUGAUAUCUGAUGGGCUGUUUCCCUUGGACAUUAGGCCACAAGUCCACUCUGAAUCAGUCUGUGGAGUUCAUGGUGUUUCUUGAAUUAAAAUACAUGAUUAACAUUUUGUUCCCUGGCAUUUAAUGAUGGAUAAAAAUAAACUCUUAAAUUAAUGCAA